CUCAAUAACCAUAAGAAAUAUAAUUUAAAAAGCAAUACCAUUUUAUACUCAAAUAUUGGUAAUCAUUAGAAAGUUGGAUAAUACCAAGUGCUGGUAAGAUGGCGAGGAAACAGGAACCCUCAUACCCUAUUGGUGGAAGUACAAACUGGUUACAGGUGUUCUUCUGGAAGCCAGCCCAACAGUGCUUAGUGAAACCAAGUGAGUGUGUAUCUUGCAAGUCAGCAGUCCAAAUCCUGGGUAUGCAGGCCCACAAAUUGCCUGCAAAGAUCCAUGAAGGCACACACACAUAGAUGUCCACCAUCACCUGAUUUGUGGUAGCCAGGAGGGGGAGACAACCCAGGCAUCCGUCACCAGGCAGGUGGACUAACGGAGAGGGGGCAGGUGUGGGCUGUGACACAGUGGUCCUAUGUAGAAGGGUUAUCUGGCAUCAGGGGCCCAGCUUCCGAACACAGGACCGGGACGAAAAGGUUAGGAGUAGGGUACAUUUCUGCCAGUCCCAUCAACAUAAAUUAAAAUCCCAUACGCUCACCACAGCACUGUCUUCUCAAAGGGCACACAUCUGCAUCAAAGAAUGCAUGUUCAACCAGUCUGAAUGCAGUUGUCAGUGGAGAAAGGAUGAAAUGGAUGUCUGGAAAGAGGGGUGCUGGAAACAAGAUGGUGGCCACAUGCGAAUGAUGCCACAGAUGAUCUUCUCGACGUUCCACCCGAAACUGUGAAAUAAAAUAAAAUGACAAACAUUUCACCAGAGGUGCAAAAGGAUUUGACUGCAUCAGGAAAACAGUCUCUGUCCUCUGGGGAAGGCUCCCUGCCCCACGUCCCUCCUGAGGACCCCACUUUUCUCAAAGAGGCGUUUUCCUGGGGGCCUCACGGCGUGCCCGGCCUGUGUGAGGCUCCUGUGAGCCUGCGUGAAAGGUGCAGGAUAAGCUGAAACCCACUCUUUCUCCUGAGGGGGCGGCCCGCUUCCCCGGUCGGGCCGGGAGGCACCUUGGCCUGGCGGGCAGCUUGCGAAACACAGCGGGGUCUCUGUGCGGCCCUGAGGUAACCCGACAGGAGCGAGGCCGCUCCUCCUGGGCCGCAGAGAAUGGGCUUCUCUGUGUGCGCUUGUUUGCUUUGGUUUCGAGCUAAAAAAAAAAUGAUUUCACACAUAAUUAGGGCUGUGGCAGUGAGAUUGUGUUCGAGGUGCUUUUACUGGAAAUAUCAAGAGGAGGGACAAGGGAGGGCUGUGUUCCUCUUCCAGCCGGGGCUUGGAAGGAGGAGGAGGAGCCCAGCAGCUCCGGGGAUGAGACAACAGGCAGUGUUCGGGGCAGAGAAGCAGCUUUCACGGAGGCAGGCCCAGCUGUGAGGGGCCGAGGUUGGCCGUGGAGGCCCAAACAGUGCCCGGUGCCUCCCUGCUGCCCGUGACCUUGUUCCUUCCCUGACAUGUGGCCCCCACGCGGACCCAUAGAGCAUCUCAGGCUAUAAAGUUGAAGGAUGGAUGGAGUACACUGGGAGCCUCAGUCCCUGAACACGGACCUAGAUUUUCUGGACCUGAGGGCCCUUGGCAGAGAGAGCCCGCAUCUUGAGCAUGUCUGGACACGAGGGGUGAGAGAAGAGACACAAGAGAGGUGCCCUCUGUCUCCACCACAAGAAGAUGGCUGUCUGCAAACCAGGAGGAGCCUUCACCAGAUGUCAGACCUGGUGGCACCU